rnacentral:lncRNA from 1 species
GGCGGGCCCUGCGGGAGCAAGUACGCAGGUGUGGGGUUUGGGGGACUUUGCGGGAGAGGCUCCAGAGGAGACACUGCCAGGUCUCUGCUGGAGGGAGAUGACCACUUUAGCCCGGAAAAUAGACUGGACAUGCAAGAAACAACACGAAAAACAUGGCGUACCAGCUCGGCCAUGAGCGCCGGUGGGUGCAGUGGGGAGAGGAACUGCUUGAGGUGGACCCGCUCUCCAGGGAGUCCUCCUUCCGGCUGCGGAGGCCUGAGCCGGGUGUGGAGAAUUGCGCUCUGCUUGUCCAGCAGGAGGGAGGCCGUUCUCCUCAGGCAGAUAAAGAGAGCAAGUACUUAACGGAGACACACGGCAGCAUGGAGACGGGGGGGUCACCCCACGACCGUUGGAGCAGCUGUGGUCUUUCCACUAAGAAGUAAAGUUUGCAUCUGGUCCACACCACUGUGCUCUGAAUAUCAGAAAUGGGAAGCGGCGCCCAAUGCUUCCAGUGAGGCAAGAACAAGUCACAGCAGCACAACAUCUGCAGCUGGAGAGGGGAUCAGCCUUUUCCAGAACAUUCCCCUCCUGAGCCAAGGGGACAGUGUAGUGGAAACCAGACUCACUUCUCCCUGAGGUAGGAAGGGGGAAUGAGGGUGGAGGGCUGGGAGGUGCCGCGUGACCACCCAAAGAAAGGUCUCAAGGUCAGGGAAUCCUGGAGCAGGGUGCUUCCUCUUCAGAGUGUGGGAUUUUAAAAGCCCAAAGGAGAACUUAGACCCAAGGUGGGAGCUCCAGCUUGCUCUUCCUGCCUUGAUGGUCUUGCCUUUCCCUUUGGAUGGGGUGGCGCACCUUGUGGUCUGUGCUCAGAAAGGGUUAAGUCUCGCCCCCAGCCCCGGGAUCUGUCAGCCUUGGCGCUGAAGCUUCCUGUGGGGAGACUGACACCCUGGAGCGGACCAGAGCCUGGCGCCCCAAGAGAGACGGCACAGACUCCCUAGAGGGACGGCGUGUGGUCACCAGGGAUGGAAAGGAGUCGGCCUUUACUGGGCAGUGACCAUGCGCUGGGCCAGGGGCAGGGAUCACAUCUCAGCUCCAUGUCGCCGCUUCAAGACAGGUGCGAUCGUCUCUGUUUUAUAGAAAAGGAAACUGAGUCUCUGUGGGCCUGGUCCUAACCCAGUCACACGCAAGCAUUCAUGCCUGCGUGAAGUGUGUCUGGCUUCACCCUGCCCCGCCAAGUGGCCUCAGAGAGAGGGGACCCACAGCUGGAGGCUGGGACCCCACGCGGACUUCCCGUCCCAGCUUGGCACCUGUACACUAUGCACAUGGGUGCUCUUGCCACAGAUGCAGGAGGACAGAGGACGGGUAGUGGAGCUGGUGGACCGAGCUCUGAGAUGCUGGGGCUCACACACGCUGGGCAGGCCUCUCAGAACACACAGCCCACAUGCCUGCCUGCCUGCCCAGCCACGGCCCCCGCACCGACAGAGCACCCCCAGACACCCUGUUCACACCUUGGACCCAUUCCUGGACCCCCUGGAUGUUUCUGGCAGCUCCCCAGGCAGCGAUGCCACAUGCGUCCUGCUCUGGAAUUCCAUUAUGAGCUCCCAGUGAAGACCAAGUACACCUUUAUAAUAAAAAUACCACCCUUUGUUGGCACACGAACUCUCCAUUAGAUAUUUAUCAAAUGUUUAAAAAGUUGGCCCAGAACCACACACGCUUUACCACGAGUCUCCUUGGUAGCUGGAGGAAAGCAAGGCCAUCGAAGGUGGAGCCUGGGGUGCCUCCAUCCAAGCCCUCAUCUUGCAGACAGGCGGCUCUCCUGGGCUCACCUGUGAGCCCACACGCAGAGCCACCUGCGGCGUUUGCGCAGAGCCUCUGCGGCCACCAGGAAGUCACACAGCCCUUGGUGGGUCCGCAGUGGAUCAACACAGACACGGCUGCACCUGAGAUUCAGAAGAACGGGCGGACGGUGCUUUCCUGCAUGUGUAAGAGGAAUUCAUGGGGCGAAUAACCCAACAGAGGUAAACAUUAGGG